CACGAACAGGACCAGUGACAGGGUUAAGCUUUUUGCUGAAAUUGCAUUUGGAAAGCCGCACGGCAAGUGAAUGAAGUAACGAGCAAAUAACUCAACGGAAAGGAGCCCGAAAGGCAGCACCCUUAGGGAGGAGCGCGUAAUAAUGCUGCCAGUAACGAGCAAAUAACUCAACGGAAAAGAGCCCGAAAGGCAGCACCCUUAGGGAGGAGCGCGUAAUAAUGCUGCCAGGUGAGUGCGCAUUAUUCAUUACCACACACCCUGCCCUACACCCCCGAAGGCACCCUGAGAGGAGUGGUAUUACCCGUAUGACUGUAGAAGCGAGAGGAUAUCCCCUAGA